GACGAACGCUGGCGGCGUGCCUAAUACAUGCAAGUAGAACGCUGAAGGAGGAGCUUGCUUCUCUGGAUGAGUUGCGAACGGGUGAGUAACGCGUGGGUAACCUGCCUGGUAGUGGGGGAUAACUAUUGGAAACGAUAGCUAAUACCGCAUAAUAUUGACUAUUGCAUGAUAGUCAGUUGAAAGGUGCAACUGCACCACUACCAGAUGGACCUGCGUUGUAUUAGCUAGUUGGUGGGGUAACGGCUCACCAAGGCGACGAUACAUAGCCGACCUGAGAGGGUGAUCGGCCACACUGGGACUGAGACACGGCCCAGACUCCUACGGGAGGCAGCAGUAGGGAAUCUUCGGCAAUGGACGGAAGUCUGACCGAGCAACGCCGCGUGAGUGAAGAAGGUUUUCGGAUCGUAAAGCUCUGUUGUAAGAGAAGAACGAGUGUGAGAGUGGAAAGCUCACACUGUGACGGUAUCUUACCAGAAAGGGACGGCUAACUACGUG
rnacentral:rRNA from 1 species